AUUCAAACUCAUAUGGAUCGAACUUUCUUAAUCUCGAUUUCUUGCCUUAUGGUAGCACAGCUGCCCACCAUGUCUUCCAAGUAGUUAAGCAGCUCAUCUUUUUCCUAUCAAUGUACUUUCCAUUGAUCAAGGUCCUUGCCUUUUAUGCAUUCAAACGAGAACUCAUAGGACUCACAUGCAUAAUUAACUCAAUUGGAACAGCAUAGAAACAAAAUAAUGUCAACACGAUAGGUUGUAAACCUCAACUCGUGUGCUAGUGAUGAUCGAUAAGGUUUAUUUGAUUUGUUCUUGAAACCUUUCAAGACCAUUAAGACUCCCACUGACUCCUUGACAUAUAAGAUUCUCUUGUCAAUAACCAUUUCUUGACAAACAAUUAUUCAAGAGUUAGUGUAGCUUUUAUCAAAACACUUCAUAAAUUGGUCCUAGUUGGUCUUUGUCUUAUCCAAGACAUCACAACUUACCAAUUUCAAAUGUUCAAGAAUAAGAAAACCUUUUUCCAUAUUCUUCAUUUGAUGAAUUUUAUAAACCUUCUUAAUACUUAUCACUCAAUUUCACAAUCUUAACUCUAAGACUUGUUUUGGAACGAAGUAUGAUUGACCUCUUGAUUUAACCAUUUCUUCAAUUCUUGAUUCCUCUUCUUAGACAUACAAUUGUACUAAGACUCACUUAGAGGAUCAAUUGAGAUAUGGUUCUUAAUCAUUAAGACCUAUCAUAAAGCAUAAAAGCUACUCUCCCUUCUUCUUAGAAUGGAGAAACUUUUAUCUUUCUGCCUACUUGAUUCUUUUUUUUCGUUUUUGCUAUUGAUUUAAACCUUUUUAAUUAAUUUCGAAUUACACUUAAUCUUAUAAGUAUAAUCAUAUAUACUAAACUUUUAGUAAAUCAUGACGAAUAUCUUGUUACUCUUAUGGUGGACUUGAUCAACACACAACUUUGUGUAUUCGAUUUCCUAGUCCUUCACUUGACACUUUGUCAAUGAAUUAGUCUAAUUUCCAAAUAUGAAAUUUCUCAUUCAUCGUGCAACCAAGUUGCAUGAUUCCAAAUUUCUGUCCAAUUGAACCUUGGGCGAUGAGAAACUCUCCCUAUUUGGUAAAUUCUUGACUUUUCCAUAAACACCAUAAAUAAGAAUCAUAUCCAUUUUGUUGUAGAAAUAUUCAAACAUCAAUUUUCAUAACGAUUUCAUUGCAAGGAAGUAAACAAAUAAAUAAAUAAGUCAAACCAAAAUUUAUUUUAUUUAUAAAAGCAGCGGAAAAUCUUUGUCCUCACAAUGCAAAAUCCAUUGAAAAACUAUGUAUUUCAAAAAGAAAAUUUCUAACAACUCUAUCAUAACUAUCUAAGCUCAAAAUCUAAUCUUCAAGUCCAUGCGAUCAAGAUCCAUUUCUUGUGAUUAGAUUCAUCUUGCUCUUUCACCAAGCUUCCUUUCUUUUCACCGAUCCUGUAAAACAUUCAAAUGCAAUCUUAUUACAUUAUGUAUUAAGAAUUAAUGAAUAGGAACUUAAUGGAGUUAGAUAGUGGAUUUUACCUGAAGCGCAGCCAUACUCUUUGACUCUCCCAUCUUCUGGACUCUUCAGGCUCUUUGGGCAGACUUGUAUCCAACGCCCUUUCUUUUGGCAGCAAACGUAGGUCGGUUCUCCUAGAACGUCCUCGGAAGCAUGGUCGGUUGACUUUUCCAACAAAUACGCUCCAUUGCUUCGCCAAAUCAUUUCUGAUUCAGCAGCAAUGAGCAUGUAAGUUAGGUCAAUGAGGUUGUCGUCAUGAUCCAUCAUAUAAUACUUUCUUUUGAACUCAUUAUAUGAUUCAGGAAGUGACUGCAAAACCCAAUUCACAGCCAACUCAUCUGGGAAUGACACACCCAACAUUAUCAACCUAUCAAUGUGUGAUUUCAUUCCUAGAACGUGGGCACACACGGGUUUACCAUCUUCAUGUUUCAUUUCCAAUAGGGCUUUAGUGAUAUUGAACCUUUCAAUUCUUCGAUCUUGUGGGUUGGGGAGAACAAUAGGAGGAGGAGGAGGAAGUGAAGCAUGAUUUCUCGUUCCUCGAUUGAAUCGUGGAAUACCAUCUUCAUGUGGAAUGCUUGUUCCACGGGAUUUGGGAAGACCAUAGUUGUCGAACUUUGACAUCUACAAAACGGGAGAAAAACAAAUUCAAGUUAGUUGAUUGAUUGAGUCCUUAGUAAAUCACCCAAAUGAGAUACUAAGGCUAGGACCCAACACAAUAUUCUACAACUCGGGAGAGGGAUGCCGUAACCCUAAUUGCAGAAUAUUUGAAGGUAAGUGAAUGACGAUUCACUAAUUUCCACCACGAAAAACGAAAAAGAAAUUUAAGUUUUAAAUCUAUGAAAACUCCUAGAUCCUUUGAGAUUCAUUGAACUUUCAAUGGCAUGUUUAAAUCUCGAUAUGCCCCUCUUGUUUGUGACUGGGAUGCCGAGGAUCACAAAGCGGGUGUGAAUAACCAUGCAAACUUACAUGGUGCCCUCACAUGUUACAGUCACCUAUUCGAUGUGCCGGUAAACCACACACGCUCCACCGAACUAUGACAAACAUUGAGUCACCCUUUGCUACCUUUGCUUAGAACCAUUUAGUGUGCCGGUAAACCACACACGCUCCACUAACGUCUUCGCAAGGGCACAAAGUGUAAUUUCAUGGAAUUGCAUCAAUUCACUUUUGCCUAAGUAACUAAGAUUGGGAAUUUUAUGAAAACAUUUAGUUACUUUUAUACUUCAUUAUACUUAUAAUGGAAGGUUUCGUCCUAUCCUACCCGUUCGGCUAACGANNNNNNNNNNNNNNNNNNNNNNNNNNNNNNNNNNNNNNNNNNNNNNNNNNNNNNNNNNNNNNNNNNNNNNNNNNNNNNNNNNNNNNNNNNNNNNNNNNNNAAGUCUCCAAUGGACUCCACUCACCUUUAAAUAGGGUUCCGAGUCAGGUCUCAGUGGAAUUCUACCCGAUACUGCCGUUAAACGGGGCUUUUGGUCGCACCCGAUUUAGUGGUCGUAACAAUAAAACUUAACAUUUUCCAAAUAAAUGGAAAUGGGUGAUGUGUUUUUAUUUCCUUUUAUCAUGACUUAACGACAUUUUAAAUGUAAACAAAUGGAAUGUUUAUUAAAUUGACGGCCUCUAAUUAACGGAACUUUUAUACAGUGGAAUAUUCCGUUAACGGUAACGGGGAAAUGUGACGGGACAACUUGGGUUGUCACAUCAUCCCCCCAUUAGAGGGAAUUUCGUCCCGAAAUUCAUGUCUAGGCAAGGAAGUAGAUAUGAACGGACAAGUAGAGGUAAGAGAGUACUUCUUAUACGGUUGUCCUUGCAUUCCCAAGUGAACUCCAGUCUGUGUUUGUCAUUCCGACAGACCUUCACGUACGGGAUGCGGAUUCCGUCUUGUGUAGCUAGUGGGUUCCAACUGGUGUAUCUACAAGGUUAGGGUUCUCGAUGGAUUCUAUCAAGGUGAGUGAGGCACGAAGAUUGUUGUCGGGAAAUCACAUACCAAGUCUAAGAAGUGGAUCGAUCGGGUGUGAAUCUUGUGGCAUAUUCGAAAGUAGUAGUGGUCUGACGAAGAUUGGACCAAAUCUCUGCGAGGAGUCUCUGAUGGUCCUAGGCUCUCGGAAGGGUAGAGCCUUUCAGUACUUUGAACAUAGUGUAAUUCUAUGGCAAGAUCAUCAAUGGCGUGAUCGCCAUUCCGAAGUUCCUAACGUUCUCACUCGUACUGUGUGUGUAGUCCUCCAGGUUGGUUCUUAGGAGUCUCAAGUGGUCUUCAGUUUCGUGUUUUCUGUCAACUGGUUGAUAGAGGCUUUCUAGAUCAUCAAGUGGGUUGCGUGACUAUGGUUAUCGGUUUGCUAUAGAGUGUCUAUCCCAAACUCGUGCAAAAUGGACCUGCACUAACGAUGCUUGAGAUACGGAAACCCUGAGGGUCGGGGAGAUAGGGUUUCACUAGACGAGUGUUGGGCUAUCUCGGGAGGUGGUUCUACUAUGUCUGCGUGAGAUAGUAUUCGUGGAACACCUAAUAGUCCAAUGAAUCUCUAAGAUUGUGGUUUAUUCUAGCGUGGAAAGUGUAUGCUCCUGCAUAACCCUUCGACUAACACCAGGACUGGUGUCAAGUUUAUAACCUCUUCAGGAUCAGGUUUAUGAGGCUUAACGCAACUACUUUCGCACUUGGCCAAGUAUUUUUGGAUGCGAAGGUUAUCCUGUGGUUCUCGGUAUCCUAGUGUUCAAUUUGGAAAGUGUAAUUCAUCGUCUACAGGGCGACGACGAUUUCCUCCUUGCGAGAGGGUGGAGGAUGAUAAGCACCACUUGUCUAUAACUGGGUGGACGAGGUGCAUGAGUAGUGCGAGCAUCUACUGCAACUACUCUUCCGAAGGUUCUGAGUUUUCUCGGUCUAGGUCAAAUCUAGUGGGUAUAGAGUUUUCAUCACUCGGAACUUUACUAGUUCAACCCGCAGUGGUUCUCUUGAUUUCGGCUCCUAUGUUAUCGAAUAGGGUGAAAGCGUUUUGCGACGAGGUCCGUGGUAGAGCUCAUGCUUGGCUUAACCACCAAUACUUGAUGUAUGCAAACAAUAUACCUGGUUAUAGUGGUCAGCCUCAUGAGUUCUAUUCUCUGGGUUCACGAACCGGAUGUGCGAGGUGCGAAGGGUCUGUCGGGGGAAUCUACGGAGUAUGCUUCGGUUGGUUGUCGUCUACUGAAGUUUCUACAAUGUCCUUCGCUUCGGUGUUCAUCUGACUACGAGGGGUCGGUCGACGGCGCGUGGUACCCUCUCUUGGGUACUUCAGAAGGCUUGAGAUAAGAGAGACGAUUGACGGAUCGCAUUAAGUUUGAUUAUUUGUGUUAGGUUUAGGUUCGGAAGAACCUUUAUUCACCGACAUGGCUAUGAAGAAAGUUCUUUUUACACAGCACCAAGAAUGAACACAUGGUUGCACGAAGUCAAACCAGGAUCAAUAGAGUCGUCGAAGUUGGUACACUUUUACAUGAUAUAAAGUGAAGAUCGAUAGAGUCAUGUGCCGAACAGGCACACAAGUUCUAGGCGUCUCGGGUUUCGUCCUAUGUAUCACUACCGCGGAUACUUGGACCGAUAGAGUCGACGCGGAACUAUAGAGGGUCCUAAGUGUUUCCGAAUAGAGUACCUUUUCAUGAGUGGAUUCUCACAAGGCAUUUCUAUAAUCGCCUCACAUAUACUAGUCAUGUAUAUUUAAGGUGGGGAGGACUGUUGACUGAGCGACCCCGCCCUAAAUCCACAACCAAACGAGGAACAGGAAAUGAGGCGGCAUUCGCUCACUCUAGGUCUGUCCAUCUUAAAUAUACAUGGCCGUAACGUAUAUGUUUAGCCAUUAUAGUUUUACCUAAUGAAUUUUAAAUUUUAUAACAGUGCUGCGACUUUCGCCUUACUGGGAAGAAUUUACAUUUGAAUUAGUCUUUUAUUGUUUUUAGUUUAGUUACCCGAGAUCGAGAGACGUACCAAAAUCUAACGAGUUCCUUGAUGCUUCUCUCUAAGCAGUAGAGUUAGGCUCCUCCUGUGUCUUUGUUGUUUCCUUCAGCUGGGCAAUCCUUCUUGAAAUGUCCCAUUUCACCACAUAGGUGACAAACGGGAUUGGUCGCCGCAUUAGUGAUCGAUGCAAUACGCUCCACCGGAGUUCUGCAUACACGAGCAGUAUGCCCCUUCAUGUUGCACCUAGCACAUAAGAGUUCCCGGCAGACACCAUGAUGAUGGUAGCUGCACUUGCUGCAGUGGGGAAGGUCUCCUAGGUAUGGUCUUCUUGAGGUCGGGAGGGAAGGAUUGACAGGGGUAUAGACUGCCUCAGCUCGUCGCCUUUCAGAAGGUCCUUGAGCCGAGGUACUUCCCUCCUCAAUCUUGAGUUUUCUCUUUAGUGGGUUCGGUUGAGGUUCUUGGGUGACUGGGUAUGAAAGUGUUGGUUGCUGCUGUCCAUUGCCAGGAUUGGAAAUCCCGACAGGGCCCUUGCUAACAUUGGCGGUGUUAGCAUUCAGGUGAGCCAUGACAGCUGCUACGGCUGCUGAGACUGCAGCUUGGAACGUAGCUUCAUCGAAUAAGAGAGCAGGUUUCUUGCUUGUGGAUUGGUUACGCUUCUUCGGUGGCAUGGUUUUCCUACACGGAAAGGAAUACAAGGUAAUGAGAGACGAUGGUUAACCCUGGACAUUUCUGUCCUGAACGUAUUAGGCAUAAAUUUUUCCCGUGCCUUGGGUACUGGUCGUCUGAGUGUCGACCUACAUCCCUAUGAUGUAGUCCUGGUAAUCGAAGUGGGUGUAUGAGUAUCGGAAAAAGGCCAUAAGAUGCGAGUCGUUCCUACUAAGUUACCUUUAUACUGGGAAAGGUUUCACUCUCCGGCCUGGAGAGAUUUGAGAACGGUUCGGAACGAAACUGCGGAAAGAGAGGCUCACAAGGGCAGAUGGCUAAAAUUCUCUCAAUAGAGAUGCGGGGAUCCGCCCUAAUCGUGUAUCUGGCAACGGGAAACGACGAUUUACCUAACACAUAGCGUGAGUAGUGUAACCACUAACUCACUAAAUUGUAUUAUUUUAUGGGUGUAUUAGCGUGACGAACACGAGGAAAAGACAAUUCCCGGGUUCCAUGUACUGGCUCCCUCGGUCUGCCUCGUAUCUUUGACUGGAAUCGGCGUUGGUUUCCUUCGGGUAGUUUCCUAGGGUUCUCUUCUCGUAUGGACAUAUUGAAUUUCUACUCCGCCUUCCUUCUGAUUCCAACUAUGGGUGUCAUCACUUCAUGAUGGAUGACUGGGAAUCUCCGAAGUUUAGGCGAAUUCCUCACCGAUGUCCCUAAAAGAAUAUAGGCACCUGGUGAAUUCAAUAGUCUCGACCCAGUUCAUUUAUUUCCGAACAUGAAAUCUUCUCAAUGAACCUCCUUGGGGUCGGAAUCAACUCUUCUGUCAAGCACUGAAGUGGGUAGGGUUUUCUACAGGGUUCGUGCGAGAAUGGAAAUGUCUAAAGAAUCCUAAGAGAUUAUUAACAUUUCACUGGAUGAUCCAUAUCGAGUCCUGCUACGAUUACACAGGGUAUACAAAUCAUAUAUAGCUUAGAUCCGAUAGGCCUUCGAAUAUGUGAUACUACUCUAGAACCACAUCCCAACGAGGAAAAGGAAAUAGAGCGAAACCACACAUUCUCAGCCUAGGAUCCUUAUUAUAUAUAACCUUGGGAGUAUACCCUCUGUAGUUGUAGGUAUAUCAAUAAGGAUCUUUUUAGUUAUUCACGCAAGGUUGCUUAUGGAUUCUAAAAUACCCCUAUGGUAUUUUAAUUUUUGUUUGUUUCUUAUCUUCUGAGUUUCAUUCUGGGAUUAGUGUGAAUCUUUUAGCGUUCUAAAAUACUCCUAUAGUAUUUUAACUUUAUGUUUGGCUCUAGCAGUCCUAGUUGGUAAGUUUCAGACCUGUUGCACACCACUAUCACUCCCGAGCACACGUUCAUCGCAUCUCGGAUAAAUGUAGUUGAUCAGGUUACAUUUAUCCCAGCUUACGAUCAGGUUACAUUUAUCCCAGCUUACGAUUACAUCGCAUCUCGGGUGUCUUCUUUACAGUAUCAAACAAACGAGAGAUUAGUGCAAGGAUCGUCUGUCUGAACCGAAUGUACCAAUGUAUCAUGUCGUCGAAGUACUUGAUAUCGUCCGCUGUGUUUUGCUUGCAUCUGUGGAUGAUCCCCAACACAUGCUCUAGGCAAGCAGUGGUGUACAUAUGUUUAUCAGCUAAGGCGAAAAGACAUUUCUGUCCUUCGUUCCUAGUGAACAUGACUGAGUUCCAUCUUGAAUCAAUCUUGCCCAUCUGCAUUUGGUUCAGAUCACUGGCCAAGCCAACAGGAGAUAUUGUUGGUUUCUUCUUGAAGACGCUUGCUAUCUCCUGAUCCAUCAAUGCAACUUCCAUGAUGUAACACAUGAGCAUCCUUUGAAAUGAUCGAUGAUCGGACCGUAUUCAGCUUCGUUGGUCAGAAGGAUGUUGUGCAAGAUUAUCCAAUCAUGGGGAUUGAGGUUCGGAAGAUCUGCUAAAGAAAUGGCAUGUUCGGUUUUGGUAGAUCCCCGAAGGACUUUGAACCGAAUGUUAAUGAAUUUCCCUUUAGUGUACGACUUCAAGACCCGAACGUUGAUAAUCUUCUGAGCGCUCCAAGUCUGAUAUUGAGGUUGAGCAGCCUUCAAAUAGAAAUCGAUUAAGUCCCGAUCAACCUGUGGAUGAGGAUGAGGGAACUCUACAACGUUGGAGAAGGCGUGAAAGAUGAACGCCUUCCGGGUCAGUGGCAUGUCAAACUGAGAGUCGACAGUAUUGGAAAAGUCAAAAGAAAUAACGGGUUCCAGCCACAAGAUGCUCGGAGUGUCGAUGGCUUCCUUUAUCAUCCUCUCGAGAGUCCAAGCAGGAAAAAGAGUUUUCCUACUCUCAAGAAGGUCAUGGGCUUCCUUCUGUUUUCGUUCAGCUUCUUCAGCCUCUUUUGCCACACAAGCACUGUCAUCAGCCUCAUUAACUCGACGUUUUUGCUUUAAAAGAUCAGCGAUAGUCUCUUUGUCUUCUUCCUCUUCUUCCUCAGCAAUAUUUUUUCCUUUGUCUUUCACACCCGAACCGGAGGCUUGGCCUACAGGAGGAGGUUCGGUAGUGUGAGUUGCCUUUGAGGAACGAGGUGGUUGGGAUACAGACUCCUUUUCUCCCCCUUGUUUUGGAAUGGACACGAAAUCGGGUAGCCCUUCAAUUUUGCUUAACAGGUCAAGGGCAGGAGCGAGCUUCUCUGCAAGGGUACACCUCACAGAAUGGUUAAGGAUAGGAUCAUGUGCUUCAAGGAUGUUUGAGAUAGCUGAGUGGACAUCCGAAACACACGUCUUUAUGACCUCCUGUUCGGACCGAAGAGAGUCAAUCUGCUGUUGAGAAUGGGGGAGUUGAACACUCUUGACCUUCAGGGCAGUGGUCUUCUUGGCUAAAACAUCCAUCAACGAGUUCUCAGCAGCCAAAUCUUCUUGGAGCUUUGAGAGACGCUCGUCAAUAGUAGCACGGAAGGCUGAGUUGUCGUCUGAGAGCGUUUGACGAAAUGAAGCGAAGGACUUCAACUCAGUAGAGACAGACGUGGCCAACUGUUGAACAAUUGGUUCCAACGUAGUCUUAGUGGCAUUUGCACUCUCCUGUAAAGACUUUAACAGGGCAGAGGCAUCAGAAAAUAGUUUAUCGACUUUUUCGGUCGCAGCCUGACAGGCUUUUGUUGAGGCAUCAAUGGCGGAGGUUGCAGAAGCGAGAGAAUCUUGCUGAGCCUUUGAGAAAGCAUCAACAAUCUUCUGAACGGCAGCAUCAGAAAGUGAUGAUUGAGACGUGGAAGAAGAGGCAAUGAGCAAGUCAACCUUGUCAUGAAGCUCCUUAAGAUGUUUCUUUGUUACCGGAGCGUCAUCAUCAUCAUUGCUCUGCACUUGAAACGGACUAUAGUAGACCGAGUCAAACGUCAUGUUUUCCCCGCCAAGGAAAGUAUCGUCUCCCUCGGAGGCGUGACCGGGAGAUGGUGGUGGUGGAGAAGCUGGUGGUACAGUUGUAUGGGUAGGUUCGGGUUGGGUUGUUUCGGGUGUAGGUGUGGGGGUAGGUUCGGUUGCUUUUGGGGUUUCGGUUGUGUUUGUGGUUUCGGGUGCUGGUGUAGGUUUGGUUGCAUCAGUAUGAACCCCCGUAUGGUGGGAAUGGGAUUGGGAUUGAAGUGUUGGGAAUGUGUGUAAAGGGGUUUAUGGUGGGAAUGGAAGUACGAAUAGUUUUAGGAGGAGAGGGAAUUGGAGAAGGAGGGAUUUUAAUUUCAGGGGUAGGAGAUCUGGGUGGUGUGUUGCCUCGUGGAGAGUCAUCAGAAUCCGAGCUCUCACCCUCAGACUCGCUUGAGGAGGAAGCGAUAAUCAGCUUUCUCCUGGGUUGUGUUUUUUGCCUCUUUUGCUGCGGAGACUGAGCAGCCUUUGUGGGUUUCCUCUUCUUUGGAGAAGGGCCUUUAGCCCCUUUCGCCACCUGUUUCCCUUUAUCAGCCUUCUUGCCUCUUGCAGCAGGCUUGUCGGCUUCAUGAAUAGACUUCAACAUCUCUGGUGUGAGAUCCCUCGGACCAGAACACUUGAAUUCUUUGUAAGUUCUGAUAAUCCAGCUGUCAGCUGGAACGUCACCAUACAUAGACUCCGGAAUUGAACCGUUGAAUGGAAAUUUGGAAGCAUCUGAGACGAUGAUCUUUGUGGUAUGAAAUGUACCAAUCGAAGACAUCGGAGCACCGGCGACAAUGGGGACGUUGUACUUGUCCAUCACCGAUUUCGUGACCACAGUCCAGAACCUGGCGUAAGAAAUUUCAGAAUGUCUGGAUGUAGAGGAGAGACUCUGGAUGAGUUGUUGCCACAAAACAGACCCAUAAUCCAUGUUGAUGCCAUUGUAGACACCAUACAUUAUUGACAAAAAUAACCGACUGGCACCAUCAGAGCCAGAGCUUCUUUCAGAAAAACCCUUUGAAUAGAACAGUGAACAUCCCGUUCCAUUGUGGCGGCAGGCAUGACUUCUUGAACUUCGCGACGGAAGAAAGCACCUCCAUAUACCCCAUGUUGUAAAACAUGUUGAAUAAAUGCCCCAUUGGAACCGUUUCUGGGUUAACCCUCGAGGAAUCAGGUUCAAAACCUAACAACGAGCAAAAUCUUUGCUUUGAAAUCGAGGCCUUGUGCUGAAGAAUAUCAAAGAAUAUUCUGUCAACGACCUUGUCGUAGUGAGCAGCCGCAAAGAUCUGCGCAAGAACUCCAUCGGAACGGAUUCAGCUCUUGUAAGUGCAGGAGCAAUCGGCGAAAACUUCAAACACUCAAUAACGGGGAACAUGUAGGAAUCGUAAGCAUGAGGGGUUAAAUCGAUGAUUAGGCAUUGUUGUGGGCGAAUAGGCAGUAUGUGGGAUGUUGCGUGAACGGAAGAUGAAUCUGCCAUUGCUUGAAGAAAGUGGAGAAGAUGAUGAACAGUUAAGGUUCAGGGAUUUCUUGCGCUCUGGGAAUUUUAAUUGCAGUAAACAGGUAAACGGUAGAGGAUGUUGCCUUUUAUACUAUGGGGUAAGGAGAGAGAAAUNCAGUUAAGGUAGCCGAUGAUCACGCGUGAGAGAGAGUGUUAGCCCCUAAGAACACGCCUCCCAUCAAGCGCUGUUUAGAUAUGAAGCGUUUCAGAUUCACACGCGCCCCUUCUGCGCCAUUUGGAGAUGCGACGGUUCCAAUUCGCACGCGUUCCCUUUUGCGCCGUUUGAAAUCAAAUCGAUUAGACUCCCGCCUGAGUCAGCAUGUCAUCAUCUUAUCCUUUUGAAAUUGUAACGGCAUCUUUUGAACAAUGCUCCCAUGUGGAUUAAAAUUGACCACAACUUAUAAUUAACCACCAAUCCAAUGAAAAUGCCUGUAAUUAAUAGAACCAGAAUUUUGGAAAAUCAAAGAUUUUCGUGCUAAGGGUGUAAAAGAAAAGAAAUAAAGCAAUACUUUUUAGGAAAGAUUGUGAUGUCAAUAAAGACACGAAACAAAUGAUCCCGGGCACGAAUCUCCUCCUUCAAAGUCAAGAGAGACCUUAAAGUAUUAGUUUGGUUUCCUGUUGAAUAACGAUCAAACACUCAUUAAGAAGUGUUGAAAGGCUUCUUUUAAUUAGGCUUCUUAGGGUGGCUUUCGCUUUGAUUCAACAGUCCUAAUCUUGAAAUAAGAUAGAAAGUGAACAAAGUACUUGUGAGACCGGUGUAGUCUGUUGAACAAGUAGGUUGGUAAUUAUUUUAAAUUGGCUGGGAAAGAUAAAAUCUCAACAAAAAUUAAAAACUGGAUCCCAAGGGAAGAAAUGUUAUGGUUUUUAACAAUUUCAUAGGAAUCACACAAAAGAAAAUUUUGAGAUUUCAUGAAGAUACGUCCGUCAAUUCAUUAGUGAAAACUAGAGCAAAUUAAUUUGUUCACCGUCAAUUCAGAUUGGGUAUUGAAUUUUGGGUUUCACUCAGCUCGUAGUGGCACGAAACUAAGAUCAUGAACACAGUUAUUUGGUAACCAUAAACCUCAGUGGUAAUUUCUGAGAGUCUCAAGGGUUACGUUUGUGAACUGAGUGAGAUGGAGAAGUGUAAUGUAGAUGGUGUAAGAAGGCAAAGUAUCUCUGCUAUGAAAGAUAGGACUAAGCAGAAAACUCUUAUCUCUUGUGAGAAGAGAGUUAAGUAGCUCUCGAUUAGAAUAAAUGUGAUAGCCUAAUUGGGAAGACAAGGUUUGUGUAUACCAAGUCAUUAAGGCUAUUAUUCAGAAUCAGAUGAGGCUUUGGACACAUACAGCAGCAUGCUUCUAGGGACACUUAACUAAUUCAACAAUUUCCCCAUAAACAAACACACAAAUAAAAUUAAAGCCAAAAAGAAAUAAAGAACAAAAUAUUUUUGGAGUUUUUGAAAUUAUAUUAAGAAAAAUAUUUUUGGAAUUUUUGAUAAAUAAUAGUGAAAAAAUAAAUAAAAUAAAAUAAAAUAAAAUAAUAAGAUAGAGAAAGAAAAUAAAAGGUUAAAAAAAACUUUGGAACCGAACCCGAGCGUUCGGUCUAUUUCGGUUGUGAGAAUUUGAGAAACUGAACCCGAGCGUUCGGUCUAUUUCGGUUGAGAAAAACUUUGAGAAACCGAACCCGAGCGUUCGGUCUAUUUCGGUUGUGAAAAACUUUGGAACCGAACCCGAGCGUUCGGUCUAUUUCGGUUGAAAAACUUUGAGAAACCGAACCCGAGCGUUCGGUCUAUUUCGGUUGUGAAAAACUUUGGAACCGAACCCGAGCGUUCGGUCUAUUUCGGGUGAGAAAAAUUGAGGAACCGAACCCGAACGUUCGGUCUAUUUCGGUUACCAAAGAAAAUAGAUUUUCAAAAAGAGAAUACUUUUGACAAUAAGAUAAAUGAAUUUGGAACAAUUGUACAUGAAAUUUACAACCAAGAAAACCACCUAUGAUUGAUGAGCGAAAAGCAGAUCAUCCAACCGAACCCGAGCGUUUGGUUCAUUUCGGUACAUGAGUACAAGACCCGAACCCGAACGUUCGGUCUAUUUCGCUUCUUACUUUUGAGUUUGAGAGGUAAUUUGUGGUACUGACUCUGAUUCCAUCAUGCCUAGCCCUUGUAGAAUUUUGUUGAACGACGCUUCAGGAAGGGCUUUGGUGAAGACGUCAGCCAGUUGAUCAGUGGUUCUAACAAAAUGAAUUUCAACGUUCCCAUCUUCCACAUGAUCUUUAAUGAAGUGAUACCUCAGUGCUAUGUGCUUGGUCUUGGAGUGUUGUACUGGGUUAUGACAGAUCCUAAUUGCACUUUCAGAGUCACAAUAUAGUGGGAUCUUUUUCAUAUUGAGUCCAUAGUCCCGGAGUUGACUUUGGAUCCAAAUCACUUGAGAAGUACAGGAGGCAGCUGCAAUGUAUUCUGCUUCAGCUGUAGACAAAGACACACAAGUUUGUUUCUUUGAUUGCCAGCUAACCAACUUCCCGUCAAGGAAUUGGCAGCCUCCAGUGGUGCUUUUCCUGUCUAGUCCACAACCUCCAAGGUCUGCAUCUGAGUAGGCUUGAACGAAGAAGCCUGAGUUGGAAGGAUACCAUAGACCUAAAGAGGUAGUUCGCUUGAGAUAACGAAGUAUGUUCUUCACUGCAAGCAUAUGAGGUUCACGUGGAUUCACCUGAAAUCUAGCACAGUAGCAUACAGAGAACAUUAUAUCAGGCCUGCUAGCAGUAAGAUACAUCAGAGAACCGAUCAUCUGGCGAUAUAGCGUAAUAUCAACUGCUGGCUUAUCCAAGGAUGGAGUGAGCUUGGUGCCGAACGCCAUUGGAACUUUAACCUUUGAAUCUCCCAUCAUGCCAAAUUUUGCAAGGAGAGUCUUUGUGUAAGCUUCCUGAUUAAUAAAGAUGCCUUCGGGUCCCUGUCUAAUAUUUAAACCAAGGAAAAAGUUAAUUGGACCCAUUGAGCUCAUUUCAAAUUUAGUCUCCAUCAGCUUUCUGAAUUCAGCCGUUAAGCUAGGAUUCGUUGAGCCAAAGAUGAUAUCAUCGACGUAAAUUUGAACAAUCAUAAGGUGGUUACCUUCCUUCUUACGAAAGAAGGUUGGGUCAACCGAACCUUGUUUGAAUUUGGACAUCUUUAAAAACUUUGUUAGCGUUUCAUACCAGGCUCUCGGAGCUUGUUUCAGUCCAUAUACGGCUUUGUCCAAAAUAUAACAAUGAUUAGGGUACCUUUCAUUUACGAAUCCAGGAGGUUACUCCACGUACACUGUUUCUUCAAGUUCUCCAUUUAGAAAUGCACACUUGACAUCCAUUUGGUAGACUUCAAAGUUUUUGUGUGCAGCAUAGGCAAGAAAUAUUCUAACGGAUUCCAGCCUAGCUAUAGGAGCAAACGUUUCUUCAUAGUCAAUUCCUUCCUCCUGACAGUAUCCUUUCACUACCAGACGUGCUUUGUUCCGUAUUACGUUCCCUUCCUUGUCCAUUUUGUUUCUGAAUACCCAUUUGAGACGAACAACUGAGGCAUCUUGAGGAGUUGGAAUGAGGCGCCAAACUUUGUUCCUUUCAAAUUCAUUUAGUUCAUCUUGCAUAGCUUGAACCCAAUCGGAGUGAUCAAGCGCAGUAUUAACUGUCUUUGGUUCAAAUUUUGAUACGAAGGAGUUAAACAUGCAGAAUUCUACUUUUGAAAACAAGGAAGUUUGUUUUGCCUUAAGUUGUUAUCGGGUCAGAACUUUUUCAGAAACAUUACCAACAACCCGAGAGACAGGAUGAUCUCUGGUCCAUUUGAUGAGAGGAGGGUAAUUUGGAUCAUAUGAUGGAUCCAAUUCAGUGUUUACCAUCUCUUCUUGUUCGGAUUGAAUUUCAUCGUCAUAAAGCAUAUCGGCAUUCUCCCCCUCGACAGAUAAGCUUUCAGGUAUUUCUUGAGUAUUUUGAGCUACAGAGGUUUCUGGUGGUGCUGAGCUUUCGGGUGUUGAUGCACCUUCGGGUGGUGAGGCACUUUCGGUUGGUGUGGCACUUUCGGUUGGUGAAGCACUUUCGGUUGGUGAAGUGCGUUCGGGAGCAGCUUGAGAACUUUUCUCCCCCUCAACAUGUGAGCUCGGCUGUGAUGGCGAAGAUGGAUCCUCCCCCUCAACUAAAGCAUUGUGCUGUGGAGAUUCGUUGGAACAGGAUACUCCUUCAUUCAUUCGCUUUGUAGCAUCUUCGACAAGUUGCUUCAGAUGAUCUACCCUGUUGUCUGCUGCGCUGGCUUCCGAGAGAAUGGCCUUCUUUGGUUCAUCAAAUAACUCGAAGAACUUCUCAAAGAGGUUUGCAAUCGAGUCUGUGACUUGACCUGUUUGAGGAAAGAUUUCUCCAGCUGUGUCUUCGUUGGCCUUUAGCUUUUUGACAUAGCUAUCAUCAAAAGUCACGUAAUAAGUUUCUUCUAUUUUCCUCGAGCGUUUUUUUAAUACCCUGUACGCUUUAGAAGUGAGAGAAUAGCCCAGAAAUAUCCCUUCAUCGGCUUUGACAUCAAACUUGUUGUGGUGUUCUUUGGAAUUGAAGAUGAAGCACCGAGAACCGAACACAUGGAAAAAUUUGACAUUUGGCUUCCUGUUGAUUGAUGAUCUCAUAAGGAGUGAGCGUGAAUCGCUUAUUGAGAUAUGACCUAUUCUGUGUAAAACAAGCUACAGAGAUAGCAUCAGCCCAAAAAUAUAAAGGUAAAGAAGCAAAACUUAGCAUGGUUCGGGCCGCUUCACACAAAGAUCGGUUUCGUCUUUCGACAAUUCCGUUUUGUUGAGGUGUGUAGGGAGCUGAGAAGUUGUGACUGGUUCCUUUUUCUGCCAAGAAUUCUUUGAAUUCUUUAUUUUUGAACUCCAGCCCAUUGUCGCUUCUGAUGUGGCGAACGACUUUCUUCAGCUGUACUUCAACCUGCUUGAUGAACAUAUUUAGCUUGUGAGUCAAUUCAGAUUUAAGCUUCAGAAAGAACACCCAUGUAAAACGCGAAAAGUCAUCAACAAUAACAAGAAUGUACUUGCUACCGCCGAUGCUUUCGAUAGAUGAUGGACCACACAAAUCAAUAUGAAGUAACUCUAGUGGUUCAACAACUUUAGUGUUUAUUAUUGAUGGAUGACUUUGACGACUCUGCUUCCCCAUUUCACAUGCAGCACACAAAUGUUCUCUAUCGUACUUGAGCAAUGGAAGACCUCGAACAUGACCUCCAGUGACAAGUUUGUUGAUAUCCUUAAAGUUGAGAUGAGAGAGCCUUCGGUGCCACAACCAGCUUUCGUCAGAUUGUGCUUUGGAUAACAGGCAGAUAGCUGGGUUCCCUUUGAUAGGUUUGAGGUUUAGGGGAAACAUUUCACCUUUACGCUCCGAUUUGAGAAUAACUCUUUUCGUCUUCUUCUCAAUUAUUUCAGAACCCUCAUCGUCGAAUGAAACCUUGAGACCGGUACCUCCAACAAGCUGAGAUACACUGAUGAGGUUAUGUUGUAGUCCUUCCACGUAUGCAACCUUCCUAAUCGUGAAAUCACCGUUUGUAAUCAUUCCAUAGCCUUUUAUGGUGCCGAAGGAGUUGUUCCCGAACUUGACAUUUCCACCGUUUGAAAGAGACCUGUAUUCCCUUAGCUCUUCCUUCCUUCCUGUCAUGUGACGCGAGCAGCCACUGUCAAUGUACCAUUCUUCGUCAAACUGCUCGUCACUGAUAACCUGCAAAAAUUAAGCAGAUUUAGGAACCCAAAGUUUCUUGGGUCCUCGUGAGCCUUUCACAGGAACAGGAAUAGUAAGAGAGAUGUCAACAAGAUAUGUUCUUUUUAUUAGUGUUGUUUCAUCUUUCUUUUUGAUGGUGAAAACCUUAAUUUUAUUGGGAUUCGUUGCUUUUGGUUUGGACUCUGGUUUAACUGAUGAAACCUUCAGUUUUCCUUUUAGUUCAGUUGAUGAUUGAGGUUUUUGAGAGUGAACAGAAUGGAAUUUAGAAUGGGGUUGAGAGGAAUUAGAAGAAUUUGAAGAAUUAGAAGAGUUAGAAUGAGAGAACUUAGACUGAGAUGAUUUCUUGACUUGAGAUUCUAGGUGACCCUUUUGCUUUUGAUCAUUAGUGGGACCGAACCUAGAAUUUUGAUCUCUUUUGUUCUCUGAACCGAACCUUUGCUUUCGGUUGAUGUUGUUCUCUGAACCGAACCUCUGCUUUCGGUUGAUGUUAUUCUCUGAACCGAACCUCUGCUUUCGGUUGUUAUUGCUCUCUUGUGAUUUAACAGGACUUUUCUCUGACUUUAAGUUCCUGUCACGAUAUGAGAAAUAGGCAUUUUGAGAUUGCCAAAACUGUUUUCUUUCAGAGAGAUUCUUCUUGUAUCUCUGAUUCCUUUGCUGUUUUUGAUUUCUCAUCUGCUUCGGUUGAUGAUGGAUAUUGGCUUUUGGUUUCUGUUUUCCUUUAGCUGGUUCACUCUGAACUGAUGAUGUUUCGCUUAAAGGAGUGACUUCUUUUGCAGGAAUUCCUUUUUCUUGAGGAACAUCUUUUGUACCACUAGUACUUGGCACAUCGAAGCUAUCAGGCUUAUUCAAAGGUUCUGGCACAUAUCUGCCUUUGCUUUUCCAUGAAGUCCUUUCAGACAGACCUACCGUUUCGUCAGCAUUGUCGAUGGGAGCUGACCAGAAGAACUCGUCGCAGCCAUCAGCAUUGUCUUCGUUUACAAUGGCUGUGAGUUCAGCAGUCUGAUGUUCGGUUACGCCUGUGACCUUAUACACCUGAUUUGGAGUUGUCCUUACCUUUUGAUAUACGACUGCCUUUUCUGCAUGAAUCGGGGACUUUUGUUGGGACAAACGAGCAAACUCCACUGAAUUUUCUAAAAUGAGAUUCUUGUGGUUUUCGGGUUCGCUCUUGACAAAUUCUGAACAAUCAACUGUGUCUUCUACAGAAAUUUCACUCAUAUUGUCGUCCUCAUUAAGCUCAGAUGCAUUUUCAACAUCAAUUUUAUUUUCUGAGCUCAAGUUGGCAUUCAAUGAGUCAAAUUUUUGUAUGGUUUCGGUCCUUAGUUUCAGUUUAUCAUUUUCAUCCAAAAGGUUUUUAAGCAUGUCCUUAUGGUCCUUGGACUUAAUGAAAGAUUCAAUUUUGUCCAGUCCAUACAUAUACGUCGGAUUAACUUCCUCAGACGAAAUAACACUUUCACAAUUAUACGCUUCAGCAUCAAUUUCAUCCUCCUUAAACUCAAGGAAGGGUAAAAUCAUGCGAUGAAUCUUUUGUCCUAUUUCACAGUCCAAAUGAAGCUGAGUGAUAUUAGUAUAAAGACGCUUAGCAAUCAAACAAAAAACAUUUCUCUGUUUUAAAAGCUUUAAAUUGUCUCUUUGCAAAUAAAUGUUUUCAUCUUUGGUUUUGAUUAACUCCGACUCCUUCAGUUCGAUCCACAUCCUCCGUUCCUCACUCUUUGAAGACACCCUGCUUAUUUGGUCAGUUAGGUUAGAAUUGGUGACUCAAGUUUGAGUUAAAAUGCUGUCUAGAUGAGAGAUUCUAGAAUUAACAUUUUUUUUUAAUUCUUUUUCAUAUGAACUUUGUGGAACUUUGAAUGAAAUAAAAAUGGAUUGUACCUUCUUGAUUAACUCAUCAAGUUCGUUGAACUGCACGCUGAGCGGUUUUGCUGUGAAGCACAAGUCCUCACGCUCCUUUGUGUCUUCAUUCCCACCAUCUGUGUUGUAUCCCCUCAUCUGAGAUACAUCAGACACCAUCAAGCAUUUUCCACCGCUACCCUCAUCUUUCGCCACAUAAGCCUUUCCAUGAGAAGUCUUCCUUACUUCAUCAUCCUCAGAGUCGGUUGACCAGACCUCCACGCCACCGAACUCAUCAUCCGCUACCGAACCUUGCACAAUUAAAGCAUUCAUAGAAGGGUUAGCAGUAGAUUUCUUUCUCUUUAUCUCAUCCAGAUUUUUCAACAACACUGCUUCUUCAUCUUUCUCCUCAUCCUUUUCUGCCAUUUUCUUAAGAACAAUCUUUGGNUGGUUCUUUCCUCCACAAUAAUAGCAGCUCACUCCCGAAUCUCCUUCAGCUUUCGGUUCCUUCUUUGGUUCUUCUGCCUUCGGUUCUUCCCUGACCUUUUCAGAACUAUAACUUCCCUGCCAAUUUCGGUUCUUAUUGGUGGGGAACCUUUUCUUGAUGAACCUUUUUGGGUUUGACACCAUCAUUGCAUAGUCUUCAGAGGUAAGGUCAUAAUCCUCUAAGUUGAGGUCUUCAUCUUCCAUCACAGCUUUGCUUUUAGACAGAAGGGCCAACGAACCCAAGCUUGAAACAACAUUUUUCUCCUAUAGCACGAUCUUUUCUUGAGACUUCAGAAUGCCUACCGGUUUCGCCAAAGAGUAAGAUUUGAAUUGAUCAUGCGCUUUAACUGUGGACACAACCGCUCUCCACUCAGAUCUGAGACCGUUUAAAAAGGUAACCUUUUGUUCAAUCAACUUCCUUUCAAUAUCGUGUUUAAUCAUCUUGCUAAGAAGAUGAUUAAAGCGAUCGAACAUUUGAGUUAUAGUUUCUUCUGAAGCCUGCUUAAAUUCACCAAACUCGGACAGGAGUAAGGUUUGAAUGGAAUGCUCGAGAUCUUUGUCUGUUGAAUAUAACUCUCGCAGCCUAUCCCAUCUUUCUUUAGCAGUUGUGCAUGAACUCACCAGCCUGAACGUGUCAGAUUGAAGAGCGAAUCUGAUUAAUCUCAAUGCUUUAAUAUUGCACUGACAUUUAUCUUUUUCGUCUUGAGCAAUAUCUUUAACAUCUUUCAAAAGAUCAUUAUACUCCUUCUGAGUUUUAAUAAUUCUUGAAGUUACUGAAUGAGCGAAUGGUCCAGAUACGAUUGCUUCCCAGAUGAGGUAUCCAUUGUCCUCAGAUCUGAUGACAUAAUCUUCAAAAUGAUGUGCCCAGACUUCGUAAUCCUGAGUAUAAAGAAUGAGAAUCUUUGUCGUUGAUCCAAUGUUGUUUGAGAUGUUAAUGGGAUUGGAUUGUGACUCGUCCAUGAUUGAUCGAAUAACCUGUUUAAAAGAUCAGACUUGUAAUGAAUUAAAUUAGGGCAAAACAAAUAAAUACUGAGUUACGUCAAUUAUGGGAUGACGCUCAAUAAAUAUCAGUAAAUGCGAAAUAACCCUAAUCGCAACCUUUUUCACAGAAAAGAUGUGUAUGAAUUACACAGCCUCCUGCUCUGAUACCAAUUGAUAAGUUAAUAAUCUAAAUUGAAGAUCGAUUAGAUCUUUAUAACAGGUAGUAUGAAGAACAUAAACAGUGAACAAGACAAAGUUGAAUCACAAUAUGUCGAAUGAUUGAUUCAAUCAAUCCUCAGCAGGGCUCGACUAAGAACUUCCGCUGUAGAGGAUUUAGGGUUACAAGAACGAUAAUGAAAUAAUGCUCUGAUCUAUCGUUACUAUCGUUUUCAAUCGUUAACCUAAGAUGCAUGCAAGCACCUAUAUUUAUAAUAAACCCUAUCAAGCUCUCGGUUGGACAGGCCCAAACCGGAGUUACAAAACUGGACUAAUAAACGAGCCCAAUCGACGCAAUACUUAACAAAACACGACCCAACAUAGGUUGUAUAUCUUUUAUGAAUUGAUAUACUUAGCUCACUGUAAACAAUGCUCUGAUACCAAUCUGUCACACCCCAAACCGGAACGGCGGAAACGUUCUGGGGUGGAUGACAUCAUGUCAAGUAUCACAACACAUGCAUUAUAGUAAUCAAAGUACAACAAAACAUUGCAUUAAUAGUAAUAAUUUUACAUGGUUACAUUACAACAAUUCAAAGUAAUACAAGCAAUAGAAUAAAUACAGCACGGUACUAAGCUAUCUUCAUCAACAGCUCCGGGGAUGUACCUGUCUAAUGCUAACCUGAGAAUACAAGUUAUUUGAAAAGCGAGUAUCAGCAUUUUUACAAAUGCUGGUGAGUUCAUAAGUAUUUAGUGACAUUUCAUUCAAAUAACUUUAUAAAGUAAUAGUUUAAGUGUUUACAGUGUAUUAGAGUUCUUUCCAGAAAAUCCUAUAUUUUCUUUAAUAAAAGCAGCCUUCUACCAAGACUGGUCAGUUAUGUGUGGUAAAAAGUAGUUUUCCCUAAGUUGCUAUCAUUAUCAAAAUACUGAGUUUGAUUAUUGAGGAAAGCAAACGACAACAGGGAAUAUCAUAUGCCUCAGCAGUGAGGACUGCUGACUAAGGCAAGGAACCGUAGACUCCAGGAAAGUAUCGAACGAACAACACGUCUGGUUCAGUCUAAUCAAAUGGAGACGCAGACCCCAGAAGGUACCNNNNNNNNNNNNNNNNNNNNNNNNNNNNNNNNNNNNNNNNNNNNNNNNNNNNNNNNNNNNNNNNNNNNNNNNNNNNNNNNNNNNNNNNNNNNNNNNNNNNACAUAACACUUAUGCUCCCACUAGCUUUGACAUGUAUUCACAAACCAACUUAACUUCUAGAAAAUCAAUACUUAGUGCUUUGAUAAUCUUUUAUCAACGCUUCUUGAACUUAUACACCUUUGCCUUAGAUAGUUCAUAUGUGUGUCUAAACAAUUGCCAAACCUCACAAUUCAAAUUAUGGAAAGGGAUACCGUAACCAUAAUCGAAUUCGAGAAUGCAAUUUUACAAUCACUAUCUUCUUAAAAUCUUUCUUAGUGAAAGCAUUUCCUCACAAUCAUUUUCAUGAAGGAGGAAAUCUUAUGACACUUAGAUUUAAANNNNNNNNNNNNNNNNNNNNNNNNNNNNNNNNNNNNNNNNNNNNNNNNNNNNNNNNNNNNNNNNNNNNNNNNNNNNNNNNNNNNNNNNNNNNNNNNNNNNNNNNNNNNNNNNNNNNNNNNNNNNNNNNNNNNNNNNNNNNNNNNNNNNNNNNNNNNNNNNNNNNNNNNNNNNNNNNNNNNNNNNNNNNNNNNNNNNNNNNNNNNNNNNNNNNNNNNNNNNNNNNNNNNNNNNNNNNNNNNNNNNNNNNNNNNNNNNNNNNNNNNNNNNNNNNNNNNNNNNNNNNNNNNNNNNNNNNUCGAUCUCCUAGUCCUUCACUUGACACUUUGUCAAUGAAUUAGUCUAAUUUUCAAAUAUGAAAUUUCUCAUUCAUCGUGCAACCAAGUUGCAUGAUUCCGAGUUUCUGUCCAAUUGAACCUUGGGCGAUGAGAAACUCUCCCUAUUUGGUGAAUUCUUGACUUUUCCAUAAACACCAUAAAUAAGAAUCGUAUCCAUUUUGUUGUAGAAAUAUUCAAACAUCAAUUUUCAUAACGAUUUCAUUGCAAGGAAGUAAACAAAUAAAUAAAUAAGUCAAACCAAAAUUUAUUUUAUUUAUAAAAGCAGCGGAAAACAUUUGUGCUUACAAUGCAAAAUCCAUUGAAAACUAUGUAUUUCAGAAAGAAAAUUUCUAACAACUCUAUCAUAACUAUCUAUGCUCAAAAUCUAAUCUUCAAGUCCAUGCGAUCAAGAUCCAUUUCUUGUGAUUAGAUUUAUCUUGCUCUUUCACCAAGCUUCCUUUCUUUUCACCGAUCAUGCAAAACAUUCAAAUGCAAUCUUAUCACAUCAUGUAUUAAGAAUCAAUGAAUAGGAACUUAACGAAGUUAGAUAGUGGAUUUUACCUGAAGCGCAACCAUACUCAUUGACUCUCC
rnacentral:lncRNA from 1 species